GGGGCGGCGAGCCCGGGAGCGGAGCGGAGCAAGCGCCGCUGGCCCCGGCGCCGCUCACUGCACGGGCCCGGGGAGGAAUCCCAGGAAUGAUGGAAUUGCGCUGCUAGCAGGUACGAGAACGCGGCGAGGAGGAAGCGGAGACGCGGACAAGCCCCGCCCGCCCGGAGCGCGGCUCGGCCCCCACGGGAGGAGCGGGGCGGGUUGGCAGGUAGUGAGGGAUAGAGGGAGCACGGCACUGCUGUGGGGAAACGGCCUUACUACGGAGAACAAAGCAAAGCGAUCUGAAAAGCAAACCCCUUUAGAAUUAAAAUUCCAUCGCGGGAGGUUUGUUUGUAGGAGUUUGGUUUUGUUUCCAAAGUCCCUUCUUACAGUUGCUGUGACUCAUUCAGCCCGCUGCGGAAGUAGCCAGAAAUCAAUGUAUGAGAUGAAAGCUGAGUGAGUGCCUCGGUCCACAUGGAACUCUCCUACAGCUCCAUGCUCCCAGAGCCAGAUCCUCUUGAGUUCCAUGAAGCCCACAUUAGUCAUGAACACCCCCCACCAUCCACUCACAGCAUUCCCACAAGGAACACUCAUUCCAAACCCCAAGUUUUUAAGACCUGAGCCCUUCAGGAGCACACCACGUAACACACUGAGCCCACCUUAAGGCCUUGUACAAAAUGAAGCUGUCGGACUCAUACAUGUGAAAGAACCAUUUAUCAGAAGCAAAGAUCGUAUGACUUACAAAGGAUCACAGAGAGCAUAAGCACACUAAUGAGAGACCUUACCUGAUAAAACAACAACUAAGAUAAGGAAAUCACCAGGAAGUACCCUCAGCCAUCAUCGUAGGACCCUACACAGCCACAUCACACCAAACUGUGCUACAGAACUUUGCCACACAGUUUUCUUGCAUAUAUAAAUACACAGGGAAGAGACAUGAUAAAGGAAUACACGUAUGGUCCAUGGUCUGUUGCCCAUUGUGAGCAUCAAACCUCUCUUCAGGAACUAGGUCCAAUACUCUGCUACAUCUUUUGCCUUUACAAAUGCUGGGAGGAACUGAGGUUUCUUCAGAGGGCUCUUGGAGUCCAAAGCAAAUGGAAACCAAAGGGCAACUAACCAACCCCAGUCCCAUCACAGGAGUCAGGGCUGUAGAGAUGUAGUGGGACCUCAAAAGGACACUGGGCAGCAGCAAUACAAAACAUCUCAGUACAGAUAUGCUCAUAUUUCUCUUGGUCAGCUCUCUCAAUGUGACAGACAUUUAUUCCAACACAUGCAUAAACUGAUUAAAAAAAAAACAGCACAGCACAGCUGCCUUCCUUCACUGAAGGAAAAAAA